ACUUAAAUAAUUUAAAUAAAAAUAUUGAUUUGUGGAGUCAGGUAUAUGAGAAUAUCAUUUUAAGUU
rnacentral:tRNA from 1 species